rnacentral:rRNA from 1 species
UGAGGAAUAUUGGUCAAUGGACGAGAGUCUGAACCAGCCAAAUCGCGUGAAGGAAGACUGCCCUACGGGUUGUAAACUUCUUUUGUACAGGAAUAAAAGACAUUACGUGUAAUGUAUUGCAUGUACUGUACGAAUAAGCAUCGGCUAACUCCGUGCCAGCAGCCGCGGUAAUACGGAGGAUGCGAGCGUUAUCCGGAUUUAUUGGGUUUAAAGGGUGCGCAGGCGGGAUUUUAAGUCAGCGGUGAAAUUUUCAGGCUCAACCUGAACACUGCCGUUGAAACUGGGAUUCUUGAGUAUGGAUGAAGUAGGCGGAAUUCGUUGUGUCGCGGUGACAUGCUUAGAUAUAACGAGGAACUCCGAUUGCGUAGGCAGCUUACUAAGCCAUAACUGACGCUCAAGCACGAAAGCGUGGGGAUCAAACA